rnacentral:rRNA from 1 species
UUUCGCAAUGCCCGAAAGGGUGACGAAGCGACGCCGCGUGAGCGAAGAAGGCCCUAGGGUUGUAAAGCUCUGUCAGGGGUUAUGAAAUGUAGACUAGCUAAUACCUGGUUUAUUUGACAAAGGCCCCAAAGGAAGCCACGGCUAACUCUGUGCCAGCAGCCGCGGUAAUACAGAGGUGGCAAGCGUUGUUCGGUAUUAUUGGGCGUAAAGAGCACGUAGGUGGUUUUGUAAGUCAGAUGUGAAAGCCUUCUGUUCAAAGGAAUAACGGCAUCUGAAACUGCAGAUCUUGAGUAUAGGAGGGGAGAGUGGAACUUCUGGUGGAGCGGUGAAAUGCGUAGAUAUCAGAAGGAACGUCGGCGGCGAAAGCGACUCUCUGGCCUAUUACUGGCACUGAGUGUGCGAAAGUUAGGGGAGCAAACGGGAUUAGAUACCCCGGUAGUCCUAACCGUAAACGAUGGGCACUAAGUAGAGGGGUUUUA